AGAAGGGUCUGGCUGCAGACCAUGGGCGAGUGGAGCUCCACUCUCAAACCGGAAAUACGUCACCUCCACUUGAAAACAUCAAGAUGGCGUCGCCGGGAGUACUUCAAACUUAAACUCAGGGAUAGGAUUGGCAUGGAAGAUGCAGCACUCUUUACAUUUUAAAUAUCAAAUGUAUAUCAAGUGUUAUCCAUCCUCAUAACACCUCCACAAAUAGAGAGUGGAACUUCUGAGCACCAUCACCUUGUCUGCUUUGGGGCUGUCAUAGUUGAAUGAUGCAGUACUAUUCUGUGUUGAAUUUACCUAACGUCAGCACACAGACAUAGUAUUGUUCCAGUUUUGCUGUGCUCAUGUCUUCUUUGUGUCCCCAGCCCAGCAAUCAGAUGCAUCAGAACAACAAAGCACAACUGUGGUGGACCAGGCACCUUCAGCAACAAAGAUUUAACAACACUGUCAGUCAGGAGCAUAUUUAACAGGAGGCACACUUCAGCUGGCUCGAUGGUGACUUCAGUAAGUGUGGUCAACCCUAUUGUUUUUGUGGCUAUAACAAUUAGACUAAGUAAUCUCACUCUCUUCCAUUUCCUUAACAUUACCCUUUUUUUGUUGAUACUGAACCGGUGCAGUGAAGAAAUUUAAAGAGACACUAUCUAAAGUACAGAAAGCCGUACAUAAUCUCUAGGUGCAGUCGCCUACAGUGCAGCCAGCUUCACAAAGACUGUGGGGCUGGUCACCAGGAAAAUGGGCAACAAGGAGUGCUUUUGGGGUUUUACUCCUCAGAUAACCACCCUGGCUACUGUAGCUGGGAUUGCUUCACAGACAAUGGAGGUCUUGAAGAGUAAAGUGUGCGUGCAUGUGAACACAUUGUGUUAUUACAGUAACAAUUAUGGUCACUUGCAGUUCAUGUGUUUUCAAUGUAGUGUAAGAUGUGUUAAUUAUUAUUAUUACUCAAAAACCAUUAAAACUUCUAAAUUGUGGAAGUUAUUCUUCA